rnacentral:lncRNA from 1 species
AUAAUCCUGGUGGACCUGAUUAUGAUUGGGGUAUUAAGGCGAGUUUCUCAUGCAGACAUAAUAUGGAAAAUGCAUAGUGCAAUGUAUAGUGUGACAGGAUCAUAGUCCUUGCACUUGUCAUGUCUCAACUUAAGAUACACAGUAAGAUCUGUUUGAUUCAAAAUCAACUUUACUCUCCACUUUUCCCCCUAGCAGUCUCUGUGGGAGAAGUCUUGACGUUAUAUUUCGUGAAUUUCAAUAGUUAAAGUUUUGUACAAUUUUCAUGUGCUCUUCACCUAUACCAUUUGUUGAGAUAUAUAUCCCACAUCGGAAAAAAUAGGACUUUGUCUGUGGUUUAUAACGGUUUGGGCCACUUCAUCCAUUGCCAAUUGGUUUUGGAUGUGAACCCCAGACUACUUUAUCAUGGUAUCAGAGCGGGUUACCCACGUCCACGUGUGAAGCUCAAAGGCCACACGAACUUCACAUCACCCUAAAUAUUGUCCACGUGUUAGGCUUGAAGAUUCACCACACGUGCGGGGACGUGUUGGGAUAUAUAUCCCACAUCGGGAAAAAUGGGACAUUACAUGUGGUUUAUAAGAGUUUGGGCCACUUCAUCCAUUGUCAAUUGAUUUUGGACGUGAACUUCAAACUACUUUAUCACUAUUUAUGUGUGAUUAAGUUUGAAUCCUGCCAUGCAGAUCUCACAGAUAAAGGUAGCAGAUAUUGCUGAUGUUGACCUAUCUUCUGUUGGAGUUAUAAACUAUGGCAUCUUAUUCACUGUUGAAGUUAUUGAUCUGGUUACUGACUAUUUGAAACUAAUGGAGGUGCAGACAAAAAUCAUGCUCUAUAAAGACUUUUUCUUAUGACAAAUAAUCUAGUUGGAACACCACUAAUUGUAUGAUAUUUCCCAUGUAUUUGAUUUCCAGCUAAUCAAAACUCUUCUGAAGUUAGACUUUAGGUAUACUUAUCUGCCCUCCAUCAAGAAGGAUCUUACCAUGUGCUUUGGUUGUAUAUCUUAAUUGUUAACGAAUCAUGAAUUGCUUUAUAUUCAGUUCAUACCAUGUUAGCACUCAAUAUGGUAUAUUAGAUAGAUUUCCUUGAUUCUAGACUAUUCUAGAUUAGCUAAGAUGGUUAAAGUGCAUACAGUGAUAAGAAAGUAUGGUCCAAAUAGCAGCUAAGAUGCUUACUUCGUAGUCGUAUCGAGAAAAGAAAUUUCUUCCGUAGGUUGCCCAGUGUUCUUACACUCAAACAUGUUAUGGAAUUCAUCAUAUGGCCGCCGUCAUGACCUCGCUAGAUUAGCUAAGAUGGAGAUAAACUAUUUUCCUGUUUCAAACCUCUGAUGCAAAAUGUCUUAUUGCACUUAGAGCAUGAGCACUAGUCUCUAGAAGAAGAAAGAAUAGGAUAUGUGAUAUGGAAACUAGCAUAGUGUUUUUGUAUGUACUAAGCUGUCAAUGCUACACACAGCCUCCGGUGGGCUACAAGCCUACAGCCCAUCUUAAAUUUGAAAAAACAUUCAUUUUUAACUAAAUUUUAAUUUAAAAAGCUAAAAAAUAAGAUCUAGCCCACCCUAAAUUUCUAAAUUUAGCUCGUAUAUUAUUAAACUUAUUUUGUUUCUAACAUAAAUUAGUACGCGUCUAUUGAAGGAAAAAUUUAUAGCCCAUCCCAUUAUAAAAUCCUGACUCGACCAUUGUAAGCUGCUAGCUGGAGAAUCAAUAUUUGAUCACAUUCUCAAGUCUGUUGAGAAAGCUGCUGAUGACCGGCCGGUUUGUUUUUCUUAUUAGAACUAAUUGAUGCUAUAGGUGAUUUUUUACGUAUAAAGCUCAAUCAUAUCUAUAUGGAAAUUAUAGAUGGAAUGUCUCGUACCAAUACAUACAUAUAGAAGUAUGACAAGUCUAAUCGAGCAAGACAUGCCCCGUUGAUUAAAUUUAUUGAUAAUUUGGUAAUGGUAUUAACAUGCAUUUACGUGUGUACCUUUCUGCGUAGUGCUUCUAAUUGAUAUAACAUCAUCUGCGCUUGCAGAUAUAAACCAUAAAAGGACCGCUGAUCAUAUAUCUUCUGUAAACUUUUAACUCUACACGACCUUAGUAUAAAAAGGGAAUUGAAAAGCAGAAUUCCAAAUUGCCCAAGUUUCUUCCAAAUCCCCUGUACUAAACUAGGUCUUGAUCCAUUCAAGAUGUACGUACUGAUCACAACUAGUACUAAUAACUCUUCACUCCAUUAUAGCUUUCCAAACAAGACUCUGACCUAUUAUAUAAUGUAAAUUUGCAAGACAGUUCUAGCAAACAUAACAUUACAGACGACCUAACAAUAUUAAGCAUCACUUUACACACACGUAUUGACAUACAUAAAGAACACAUACAAAUACAUGCUAUAGUAUUGUUAUACCUUUCUUUGUUUAGCUCGUGAAAGAGUUCUGUCAAGCUGUUUCUCUAGAUGUUUCAGUUCUUUCAGACGAAAUUUAUCAAGAUCUUCUCCAAGAAAAUUCCUAAACACGCACAACUAAAGAAUCAUCUAGUAUGCUAAAAGAGCUAUAUAACUCUGCAUGAUGAAUUAAUUGCCAAGUCGAAAUAUAGAUGUAUGCAUGGUUUUCAUACACACCUUUGCCAACUCUGAAGAGAUUCAUAUCUGACUUUCAAUCUUGAGACCUCUUGAUAUGAGUUCUGCAAUAGAACAAUGAAAUGUCUAAUAACAACAUACUGGACUACAAAUGAAUUAAAGCUUAGCAAAAUUUGCAGCUAUAUUUGGGACAAAUUUCAAGUGGUUAGCAAUCUCUGCUCAACUGAUUAUCAACGCGCGAUGUAUUAGUUAUUAGGGAUUAAAGCCAUUCAAUUGGAUCAUUUUCAGCAUGCUCAAUAACCUGCCUCGUAAUCAUUUCUUUCAUGAUUAUCAUCGAUAUAUAAUACAUAUUAUCAUGAUUUUUGUUGCAUCGUCUGCUCCAUCAUCAUUCCUUUCAUGAUUCAGCUGUGACAGAUGCACUGGCAUGUAUACCUCUCUAAACCUCACUCAAUAAUGGAAAACUAAAUAUCAAUAUGAAGGGUCCAAGUUACUAUACAUACUAUAUAAAUAAAUUUGAAUAGCCUAGAUGAAACAAGUAGAUGUAACUACGAAAACUCAUAAAAUAGACGUAUGUAUAUAGGUACACACUCCUAUAUUAACAAGUUUCCACAAUUUCAUUGGAUUUCAGAGAGAUAUUCAACAACCUGUGUUUCACUCUCAGCAACAUUAUCUUGUGAGGAAUAGCAGCAUUGGUGGUAGCGGUUGAGGAUUUCAUUUACACUAGCAAAAAGAUGACAGCCCGUCAAUCUUAAUUCGUGUUGUUGACUCUUAAAAGUUGAUAAAUAGAGAGACUAGAGUGAGAGAAGAGAAAGGGAACUAGAGGAUUGCAUAACACAGUGAUGAACACACACAUAAAAGAUGCAUUCCAUGCCCAAUAUAUCUCUUGAGUAUGUCAUCUCUACUACUAUAAAGUCAGGCGCUUCAUUAAAUUGUAAACUUUUAAAAUUACCCUUAAUGAAUCAACUAACACAAAUAAAAUAAAAACAAAUUAAAUAAAUAAUCAUAAAAACUACUGAUUAGUAAGACGAAUAACUGUAUGAUACGGUAAACUGAAUUAACCGUUCACGCUUAUAUGCACGAGUAAAAGACUAAUAUCAUCUAAUUGUGCGAGUCACACUGUUUAUGUAUUUAUAGUACAUAUAACUCCUUUGAUUUACUUUAAAAUCACUCCUUGAUGGCCUUAAUUAAGCACUUGUCCAUUUGAUUGUUCUUAUUUAGAGUAAUAAAGGAAAUCUAUAAUGACAUAUUUAUAUAGAUUUAUAUACAGCACUGCUCGUGAUUUAACUCAGAUUUAAUAUGUAUACAAAAACAGAAAACUGGGCAAGAGCUCGUGAUUCAUUUUUCCCUUGAUUAAAUCCUUUUGUGUAUGUAGUUUUCUGACUUUGGCCCAAUUUAGUAUUGAGUUUUGAUAAUUAAAAUCACUUAUAAUCUAUGUUGCAUGGACACUGCACACCCCUAGAAAUGUCCGUGCAAGAGCUCAUGAUUUAACUCAUAUUUAAUAUGUAUACAGAAACAGAAAACUGGGCAAGAGCUCGUGAUUUGUUGUUCCCUUGAUUAAAUCCUUUUGGGUAUGUAGUUUUCUGGCUUUGGCCUAGUUUGAUAUUGAGUUUUGAGAAUUAAAAUCACUUAUAAUCUAUGUUGCAUGGACAUUCACACCCUUGGAGUGUCGGAGUGUCCAACACGCCUGACACGGGAACACGCCUCCGACACGUGUCUGAAAAUUUGUAAUUUUCUGACACGUCCCGACACAUUGACCGACACGCCACCUCAGCCUCUAACACGCCAUGUCAUUAAUUACUAAUAUAUAUAUAUAUAUAGAGGAUCUAAAGAGGACAUUCUUACUUUAAGAAUUUGAGGAUUUCUAUUAUUUUACAUUAGUAGAUGACUUCAUUUAACGAUCUCAACCUUUGAUUCUCUAGAUUCAUAUGCAAGAUACAUGUCUACAAAAUUUCAACUAAUUCUAUAAUCAUUUGGUCAUUCAAAUUUAUGUAAACAAAUGUAAGCCGUUAGAUAAAAUUAAAACGAAUAUUGUGCUAAUCAAAUGGUUAAACGUUUUUUAUUUUGGCUAUUUUUUGUAGGAUUCAUAUGUGGGUAAAUAACUAGGGAAUGAGUGGCUUUGAUUGUCAAAAUGCAUGCUAGAACUAAAAACAUCUUCAUUUUAAGGAGGUCCUCUCUAAAUCCGGACUAUAUAUAUAUAUACACACACGAAAACGAUAGAGAGCGCAUGUGCGCAGUGCACACGUCCCUCCGUUCGCCAUCGUCUGGUGCCGACGAUGGCGCGCCUCCACCCUAGAAGACUCCAGCAGCGUUCCUAACCACUUUCCCUCCCCGGGUAGUCCGUUUUUUUUCCAGUUUUCCGGCGAGAUCACCUAAAACUUCAAAAAAGUCAAUCUUGCCGGAAAUUGGAAUUCGGAGGACUCGCCGGGGAGGGAAAGUGAUCGGGGACGCUGCUGGAGUCCGUCGGAGUGAAGGCGCGCCGUCGUCGGCGUUGGACGGUGGCGAACGGAGGGACGUGCGCAUUUUAAACCGGUGAAGUGCGCACGUCCGCUCUACAUUCGGUCUGUAUAUAUAUAUAUAUAAAGAGGUUUAGAUGGAUUAUGGAAUGAUUGAAAUUUUUUGUCUAUUAGGUGUUAGAGGGUUGUUGUGUUACUAAGUUGAUGCAUAGUUUUUUUUACAAUCUAUAUCUGCCCAUUUGAUUCUCUUUAAUGACUUACAUUUGAUUAUCUUUAAUGUUAUUUUAAUAUGUUUAUACAAUGAAUUGAAUUUAGACAAAAAAGAAAGAAAAAAAUAUUGAAUUUAGAACAUGAUUUUGGUAAUGUUAUGAACUUAUUUCAUAUUUUAGUAUAUUUUUUAUAUAUGUAUUAAAAAUAUAUAAAUAUAUUAUUCUAUUUGCUGUGUCCAAUUCGUGUCGGAAACUCAGUUUUUGAGUUUUACCGUGACGCCGUGUCCAUGUUCGUGCAACAUAGCUUACAAUCACCAUUUUGAAUAGAUUUCUGUUUAGUAAAAUUUUAAAACGUGCUUAUUUAAAAAAAAUUAGUUUAAAUAACUACGAUUUUAAAAAACAGGUUNNNNNNNNNNNNNNNNNNNNNNNNNNNNNNNNNNNNNNNNNNNNNNNNNNNNNNNNNNNNNNNNNNNNNNNNNNNNNNNNNNNNNNNNNNNNNNNNNNNNNNNNNNNNNNNNNNNNNNNNNNNNNNNNNNNNNNNNNNNNNNNNNNNNNNNNNNNNNNNNNNNNNNNNNNNNNNNNNNNNNNNNNNNNNNNNNNNNNNNNNNNNNNNNNNNNNNNNNNNNNNNNNNNNNNNNNNNNNNNNNNNNNNNNNNNNNNNNNNNNNNNNNNNNNNNNNNNNNNNNNNNNNNNNNNNNNNNNNNNNNNNNNNNNNNNNNNNNNNNNNNNNNNNNNNNNNNNNNNNNNNNNNNNNNNNNNNNNNNNNNNNNNNNNNNNNNNNNNNNNNNNNNNNNNNNNNNNNNNNNNNNNNNNNNNNNNNNNNNNNAACACAGUAAUGAUACUGAGUUGAGUAACUUGAGUUGAUCUGAAAGGUUCUUAAUCCAAUAAGAUGCAUACUGAGUUGAGUUGAACUAUAAAAGCUAAUUGGGAGAGCUGUACUUUUCUGACCAUAAAAUAAUGGUAAAUGAGAGAGAUAGAGGGAGAGUUCACAAACCCAGAAGUAAUGCAAACCAAAGCUACAGAUAGGCACCAAAGAGAAAUAGAAACAUAACCUUAGCUGAUUCUCACUUGAACCAAAAAAAAAAACCUUAGCUAAUUCUAGACAACAUAAAUUAAGCUAAUAAAUAUAUGAGACCCCAAAAUUGAAAGCUACGUACGGAUGACCCUUCAGUCGUACGCACCAACAUGCAGCACCAAAGGAAGAAAGAAGAACCCAGAAAAUCUAUUCACGUUUUAAAAAAAUAGAAGACGAAGAAUUAUAAAUACUCGUUGGUGCUGGGACUGCUGGCAAAGACGUCGAAGAGCUUGCCGCAGCGGGAGGAGACGAUAAGGGCAACUUGGGCAUCACAGAACACAGAGAGCUCCUGAGCUUUCCUGAACAGACCCAGCCGUCGUUUCGAAAACGUAACUUGCCGGUUUAUCUUGUUCUCGAUUCUCUUCAUUACCACUUCCCCCCUCCCCAUCUUUCUUACACUGUUUGUCUGUCUUUCUCAGUCUCUUUGAGCUCUCGCUCUCAUACAGUCAACUUGAAUUCGGUGGUAGUUGCACAGUGUUGGUGGCCUUAUAAUUUAUUUGGUGAGGGGCACGUGUCGGCCGGAGUACAACGGCCAUGUCCACUCUCCAACUUUAAGCUUGAACAGUGACGAGAGUGGGGUUGUUUGCUGAAGGAAACAGAAUCAGAUGCGACUCAAGCAGGGAAAGGGAACAGGUUUCGUAUCGUUUGCUGUUGAAUGAGAGAGUUUGAAUGCCAGCAAGCGAGUAAGGUCUCGACACGUAUCCGGGCUCCAAGGGGAUUGACUGCACUGGAUUGCUUUGUGUUUCGUUCAGGCCGUUCCUGCGGGGAGGUGUGAGAGUCCGCCGUCUCAAACACCACAAAUGCGAGGACACUAAAAAAUAAUAUAUAUACAUAUAUAUAAUUUUCAUAAAACUUUUAAAUUUUUUCUUAUUUCUCGUUUUCUCGCAUUUAUUAUAUCUGACUAAUAUUAUAAUACUUUAUAAAUUCAUAUUUAAGAUUCAAGAUUGUACAUUUACUGUGUUUUUACGUAUCUUGUGGAGAAAUUAUUUUUUUGCAACGACCAUAUUUUUUUUCUUUCAUAUGACCGUUAAAGAGCACAAUUCUCAAGAUUCACCUCAGGUCUUCAAAUCCCAGGUCCGGCCCUGGUUUCAUUUCUUUUCUCAAGAACCAAUAGGCAUUUUAGUAUGCAUUUUAGUCGUUUGGAAAUGCAUGCUAGAAUGACACAUUACAGUGUCCAUAUUAUGGGGAAAUCGUUUCACUGCAUUUAGACAAUUUUGAUUACUUAUUUGAGCCUAUAAACUCUCGACAUGUUUCAAACACAUAGAAAACUAUAUAGAUAGGCUCGUUAAUGCACUCAAUUGUGGUGUUCCAGAACUAUGAUCAUCAAAGUGCCAAAUAAUUUUAAAGAUCAUAAGACACGUACAUAUGCUUGGAUUUCUAAUAGACGCUCCGAAACUCACACCACCUUUGUACGGAACAUCGACAUCAAUGCCUAGAGAUGACACUCAAAACUUGUCACCAAUCAACCUUCCAAAACCACACACACCUUCUCUCUUGACCUCAUCAUUGUGCAAUUAAGUACCCGUUCGGCAACCAACAAAAUGACUUGCCAUGCCAACGGUAUCAUUGAUCAUUUUUGAACAUGGCACCAUUUUGGUGGUGUAGUUGCUCUCUCUCGGCGCUAGGGCUAAAAGAGAGUUAUGAUGAAGGAUAAAGUGUAGAGACAAAGAGAUAGCAAGAGAAUCAUCAUCUUAUUCGUUGAUAGGAGCCUUUUAUAUAGGGAAUUACACAAUACCAAUAUGGUAAGGAUAUGAAUACAUAGAUCUAGUCUAACUACAUAUCCUAUUGGCAUAAGGCCAAGGCACACAUAGAGAAUAUCCUAGAACACUCCCCCUUAUGCCGCGCGCUGAUAUGCCGAUGGUGCUGAUCUGUUGCCUCGUCAAAAACCUCGUCAUGUCACAAAAACCCUGUGGGAGAAAAACUGAACCUUGAUCGUAGGAGAAAAAGAGUACAACGCACCCUUCACAUUUGAUAGUGACAUGUAUGUAUGUGCUAGACUCCCCCUGAAGUUCACACCUCCCUCUGAUCUUUACAUCAAUCAUAGGGCUCUUCCUGAUUCUUACUAAUCACGGAAGUUUCAAAAACUUAGCAUGUCAAUGCUCUUUAACAUGUCUUCAAAUGUGGCAUUAGACAAUGAUUAACUAAAUCAUGCCGUAUUGUCCUCAAAUGAUCUUUUACACUUAGAUCUUGAGGAGAAGGUCGCUUGUGAACUCAAAACAUAAGUUCGUGCAUGAAAUCAGGUUUCCGCGCAGCAUGACCUUCAAUUACUAGAACAGUCGUAACUUCCUCUAGGAAAUACAUAUGAACGAACCGUAAACGUUUUUGGAAACUAGACUCAUUUAGCUUUCCAACCGUAUAUUAGACACAUUCUGGUUCAUCAGGAGCUGUUCACAAAAUCCCGUCGAAGUUGACUGUUUUGCCAAAAUCAGAUUCUCGGACAGAUUCGUCAUACUUUACGAAAACGGCCAUAACUCACUCAAUAUGAUAGGUAUGAUCAAAUGGUUGGUGUCUCUGGAAAGUAGACACAUAGACCUUUCCAAUGGUACCAAUUUUACCAUAUUCCAGUGAGUGAGGUUUCCUGUAAGUCCCGUGGAGCUUGACCUACGAAACUUGGCAGAUUCUGAUUUCGUUAUUGAUGUGUCUUUCUUAUGUAGGGAUAGAAUAAGCCUAAACCUUUCAUACCAUUAAGUAUUGAAAAAGGAGUUACUGCCAUUACAUUGGCGUUGCGUGGGCGCAUAGCUACACUUAGCUUUACAACUUUUCAUAGCGAAUGAGAUGUCAAGUCUUUCGUAUUAUGUUGAGUACUGCGUCUAAUUGUACUUAGAUGGGAACUCCAUCUCUUAACACAUAUUUGUCAUCUUGCUUUAGACAAAACAACGGAUCUCUUUUUAGAGCAAAGACCUUGACUAAUCAUGGGAGUAUAUGUAGGCCUCACUAGUUAUAGAGCGCCUAAGCCGAUUGAUGGAAAAUCAUUAUCAAUACAGUCAUCGAGUGCCUUAUCGAGACCAUGUCUUCCCAAGAUCUUUUUCUUCGGAUGUUGAUACAUAUUGGCAUUUCUUGAUCCAUCAAGAGUCCAUGUAAAUCCGGAAUGAACACGCAAAGGCAUAAUUCACCAUAUCCCUUCCAAAUCAAGUAGAGUCCAUGUGCGUUUCAAUACAUUUAGCAAACACAUGCUCCUGUGGUUUGGAGCCACUUGAUUCGGAUGAAUGAAGUCCGUUUAAGAUCUUCAUACAUAUCUCUGAUCCCGUAGAGAUGUUAUUAUGACCACAUUCAUAGGCUGCUUGUUCAGUUAUUCGGAAACUACCAAACUGACAAAGUAGUGGAGUUCAAUGACAUCCAUUACGAGAGCAUAUCUCAUCAUAGUCGAUCCCAGUGCGUGUUAGUGAAAGACCUUGCGCCAUAAGGUGAGUCUAAGCUCUUACUCUCACUACGCUAUCUAACAAAUGCACAGUUGAUAGGGUUUAGCUUGCGGUGUCGGCAUCACCUGCCCAAGGACCUAUCUUUUUGUUAAUGCUGGAUCGCAUCUUUCCAUUAGGCCAAUCAACUAAGUUGAUAUCCAUCAACGAAGGGUGGUUCGAGAGUAGACUCAUUAUCUCAUGUCCUCAUGUACACUAGUGUAAUACUUGUAGAGAUCUCUAUAUGGAUUGGAUUUGACAUUGAGGCGUCCCUCAACAAUAAUCACAAUUCAGACUUCAUGAGACGGAUUUGAGUAUCACUGAUCAAUGGAUCAGGUUGUGCCAAGCUCGCUUUCUGCAAGACAAUAUCGAACCUAAGGGCCUCCCUCCUUUUAGGGAGCCACACGGCCUUGUGACACCAAUUUUGCCACUAUAUAACGUCACCCUAUCACCAUCCAUGGUGAUGGCGUCAAGACCAACAGUUUUUGGUCGCGCCAUGUCUUUUUGUAGGACAUCAAUCCUUGCAGACAUAUUUGCAACAUGUGAUCUCGUCACUUUAACACUAUAAGCAUUUGGGAUCAAGAUGAGACUUAGUGGGGACAAACCACGACAAUUCACGUCGUUCCACUUGAACACUUGUGUUCUUAUCUCCCCCUAACGGCGGGAAUAUUGUCUCAUCAAAGUGACAAUCCGCAAUUUAGCGGUGAAUGAGAUCGCCUGACAAGGUUCCUACAUAUGCGGAUUAUAGGUGGAGGUUCAUAUCCAACCUAAACUUAUUCAUCUCAAAUGACCUAUCAUUGUACGCAGUGGCAAUGCGAUUUGGCACCUAGAAAUAACAUCUAGCCGAGCUCAAGGAUUGGAGAUCCGUUUCAAUCCUGCCGAGCUUAAGGAUUGCAAUUUCGUGUCAAUCCUGGUACACAGUCACGAGCUGUAGUACAACAAAAUUCAAUGAUGGUGGGUCGUAGAUGAAUAGUAAAGCUGCAUGCAAAUAUUGUAUAGCCCCAAGACGCAAUAGAAAGAGUGGUGCGCAUCAAUAAUGUUCGAGCGACAAGCUAAAGUUGCUUGGUCAUAGCCUCGGUGAGACCGUAUUGCGUGUGAACAUGGGGUACAAGACACUUCAACUUACAUCCCGAUGAACUUCUUUAAAGAAUGGGUAGUGAGCCCGUAGAAGUAUAAGCAGCAUAAGCAGUAGAUAAUAGUGUAACACGUGACCAGUGUGCUAACACUUCAACCAACACCAUAAAGCAUAAAAGGUGUCCGCAAAUUGGUUGUAUCUAUCUACAUAAUUUUAUGUAAGAAUAGAAUGUUCACUUUUGUAUUUAGCAUAGGAGGGUCUCACUCCUAAUUUAGCUAAAGAAUAGGCUUUCAAAACGAGCAAUGAGCAUUGCAGGGGGCCAAUGCGACAUCGAGGAAAGGCCGGUGCACCUCAAUUGCUUGAGGAAUUGACCAAACGACCUCCAGGAAGUUGGAGUCGUGUUCGGGUGACGUCAAUGUCCCCCGGGUCACCACCAUGCUUCAUGGUGAUGCUAGGUCUCGAAUGUCUUCGUUUUGAGCGGAAGAAUGGAUGUCCAUGAGAAUUUCUCAAAAUUUGGAUCAUUAUAUCUCUUCCAGGUUGACCAAUUUAAUCAAACCAAAGCCUAUAUGAGUCAGUGUCCCAAAUAUCAUGUUUGGCGACAACAUGGGAUUCGAUAUUCGAAUCAUAGUGACAUACAGUCCACUAGAUUGACUAAUGAAUUUAUCCAAGAUGCGCUUCAGUCCGCAUUCAUGAGAAGGUAUACACAAAAGAAUUCUUGUUCAUUCUCACAAUGUGUUUUCAAAUGAAAACCAUUAGCAUGAAUGUCUUUAAAGCUCAACAUGAUUCCUUAGAAUGUUGUGGAUAGUUCCACUAUCUGCGAAGCACUCAAUGUCUCUAUGAGACAUAACUACAAGGAGUAGAUAGGCGAGUAAAUAGUUCUACUUGAACCAUUUAGAAGGAUUGAAAGAAGCUACGAAAAGCUGCAAUCCCGAUAGUGCAUAAAAGUUUCCGCGCAGAAUGACCUUUGCGCACUAAAACAGCCAUAACUUCUUCAUUAAAAUAGAUAUGGACGAACCGUGAAAAGUUCUGAAAACUAGACUCAUAGAGCUUUCCAAUGAUAUAAAGCUCACUGUCUGGUUCGUCCGGAGCUGUUCACAAAGCUCAAACGAAGUUGACUGUCCAGAAGGGACAGAUUGCUGUUUUUCGCAGAUUUGGCAUGUGCGAAGCUGUGAAGCUUGCAGGUGGCGUGUAGGCUUUUGCCUUAGCCAAAAGUGACGUGUGUAUGAUCAAAAUCAAGUCCUUUCGAUCGUUCUAAGGUCGUAAACUCCAUGACUAGUUAGCAAAAGCUCCCUGACAUGAACAUAAACUAACUCAGAGGACCUAGAGGAUCCGAUUAUGAUGAUAAUUUUCCAGUUUUGAUAAGUCUUCAACGUCUUUUGCAAGACGGCAAUUGGUUAAUAGCGUAGGGGAUCCAAAAUCAAAAAGCUUUCGGUAACUCCAAGUCAGUAUGACCAGGCAUGUCCGUGGAGGGNNNNNNNNNNNNNNNNNNNNUGGGCGAUCCUCCUUGAGGAUGCAGUGCCAUGAGUCACCUUCAAAGGAAGGGACCAAAAUCGGCACAAUAUGCCAUGUUUCUAAGGACGAUGUAAGUGUACAUCUUGAUUGUAAAUCAAUAUGAACCAUAAGAGGAGAAUAGUUUCACUUCGAAAAAAUCUCAAGGCAUUCAUUAUUGCUAAUGUGAGUACAUCGAGGUCUCAAAUAGACAAAAGACGUCGAUACAACGCCUUAGUACAUAUAACUUGGAACGAAAAUCAAUGUCUAGCCGAUGACAUCAAAGUCAUGGGUAGCUAGAGGAGGAUCCGAAUCUUUGAAAUUCGCGAUCAUGAGGAUGACGUUCUUGUCCUCAUAUUGAUUUUCCAUACCUUUUUGUAUGCAUUCACAAUUUAAAGGAGCUUGACAAUCUUGAACCAGCGAUCCGAAGAUCCACAACGGUUGCAUUAAUGUCAUGAGCUGACGUGAGUAGUUUUGACAAAAUGGUGUCUAGACCGGGAGUGUCGCUAUUAGAGCCGGCAACACCUCCCCCUCUUUUCUAGACAUCGGCACGACGUUUUCUGCCGUUGCCAUGACCCAUAUUGUUGUCCCCACAUUAGGGGAUAAUCACAAAUAAGUUUAUCACAUUAGCGUAUAUACAAUUCCUGUUUGUAUGAUCAAAAUCAAGUCUCGUUGGUAAUUCCACACCAACUUGGAGGACCUAAAGAACUUGAUGAUGAUCGAAUCCACUAAAGAUAUGGAUCAUGAUGCCACAAAAGAUCAUCGACAAUAUGUAGUCAAUUAAGGUGGUAAGCAAUCCACUUGACUAAUAACUCAACAAGUAGAGUUAUAUGAACGUUUCGAGAAACGCUCCAUGAGUGCAUUCCACAGUACUUUGUGGUUAUUACUUUUUGCACAGAUUGCCAUUGAAGGCUUUUGUCGAUGUGGCGAGUUAAAGACUUUGAGUGCAUGAGAUGUGAAAUCUCGGCAUCUAGGCUUGUUAGCCCGGGGGUCAAAACAUGUGGUUUAAUCCUUUCCAACGAAAGGUUCCACAGAUACCAAGCGAAGAUCCGCCUUAGGCAUCUAGCACGUCAAAACUCAAAGGAGCAGAAUGUUACAUUGCUCUUGCAUACAAAACUAAGCUGUUAUGAGACUCGAUAGAGGUCACAAAUGAUGCUUUUAAUGGUUUGUCCUUCGGAUUGAUCAUACACAAUCCGGAAAAGCCGCGAAUUGAUCAAACACAAUUCGGAAAAAGGCCUCGGAUUGAUCAAACACAAUCCGGUGAAAGGUCGGGGUUGAUCAAACACAACUCGGACAAAGAAACAAGAGUGAUCAAACACACUCUUGACCCGCGAAUAAAAUUCCAGGAUUUGGGUACCUGCACGCACAAAAUCCCAAGCAUAGAAUGGAGAUGGAGAAGGGAGGAAAUGAUUUUAUCCUCCCCGAGUUAUUGAACCUGGAAAAGUUUAAGAUUUCAAAAAACAUACCUUUCUAGAGGCUGCCGAGAGGAGAAAUAACGUUUCGCCUACUUAUACUUCGAAUUUGGGGCUGAAAAUUUGAUAGGAGGAGCAGCUCUGGAUGGGGAAGCUGCUGUCAAAAUUUCAGGUUGAUCGGAGCAAGGGAAGGUGGUGAACCGGUGGUCGGUAGCGGCGGCGGUCUGGAAUCUUCCGGCGGCCGGUUCGGAGACUUUCCGGCCGGUUCUCAGGGUGAGACCGGCGGCGUUGGAUCCGGGGCGGAGAGAGCUUUCUGGGGAUAUAAAAUUCCGGCGGAGGGCAGUCGGAAUUUUGGUCGGAAAUCGGGAAAAACAAGGCUGCCCGAUUUUAGGGUUUUGGUUUUUAGGGUUUAGAAAAAAAUGGUGGGCUAUUGGCUCUAGGGUUAGAACAAAGUGCAUGAUAACGUGAUGAAGGAUAAAAUGUAGAGACAAAGAGAUAGCAAGAUAAUCAUCAUCUUAUUCAUUGAUAGGAGCCCUUUAUAUAGAGAAUUAAGGAAUUACACAAUACCAAUAUGGUAAGGAUAUGAAUACAUAGAUCUAGUCUAACUACAUAUCCUAUUGGCAUAAGGCUAAGGCACACAUAGAGAAUAUCCUAGAACAAGUUAUAGUUUUUACAAUGGAUUUUAUAGCAGAGUUAUAUUGUGAGUCUAUUGGUUAACUUAUACUCUUUUAGUAUGUUUUUUGGAUAAUCUGGACGUGAAUUAGAACUUUUUAAAAAAUAAGAGAAAUGUGAAAUUUAAAGGCCCAUGAGAUCUUAUUUCUGUUUAAUAACAACAAUUUUAUGGCCUUUAUUUCUAUUUGAUAAUUAUUAUAGGCCUGCUUUCCUCCUUUCAAGUACAGGCACAGCCAUUUUGGGCCUUCAAUUGGGUUGCUAAGUGUUGCAAAUUCUCUAUACUUCAAUUUACUUGGAGAAAAGAUGCAGUGAUUAUUUUCAUUUCAACUUUGAAGAGAAUGAAAAGUUGAUUCUAAGGUAAGUAAAUUUACACAUAUUACAAUAGCAGAUUACACUAACGUGUCUUCUCAUUCUACGUCCUGAUCGAGUUGAUCACUUUAACGUCUCGAAAAUGUGUCUUCACUUGAUCAUGAUAUCAGAAAAAGAGUAAAGAAAGAAAAAUUAAGUCACAUGAUGACAUGAAAGUGAGGAUAAGUGUUUCCCAACGUACAUGUGGCGACCAUGGAGUUUCAAAUCAAACUCCUAAUCAUCGGGCAGCAUAUACUCCAAGAACAGAUCUUCCCCGACUUCUUCUUCUUCUUCUUCCCAACACACACACACACACACACACUCACAAACUCAAAACUCAAACUUAAACUCAAACUCAAGAAUGGCACUUUCUCUCAGACUACACACCCUUCUCUCCACCACUUCCCGACCCAGCUUCUCUUCCAAUGCUACUCUCACUCCUCCAACCCCUUCUAUCUCUCUACUCUCCUCCUCACAUUUCCCCCACCACCACCUCCCUCUCAGAACCUCUCACUUCCUCACCGUCAAAGCCGCCUCUUCUCCCGCCACCGUAGCAGACCCCAUCAAGGUCUCUCUCUCUCUCNNNNNNNNNNNNNNNNNNNNNNNNNNNNNNNNNNNNNNNNNNNNNNNNNNNNNNNNNNNNNNNNNNNNNNCUCUCUCUCUCUCUCUCUCUCUCUCUCUCUCUCUCUCUCUCUCUCUCUCUCUCUCUCUCUCUCUCUCCAUUAUCCAUGUGUUUACUCUGUUCAUGUCUUGAAGUUAAUUAUUAAAACAAAUUGGGUGUCUUUUUCUAUACAGAUUAAUUUGGUUCCAACCAAACCGAUUGAAGGCCAGAAGACGGGAACCAGCGGUCUCCGAAAGAAGGUAUGUUUCUGUCUUUCAUUGUUUUUGCUGCGUCGUUUUUGUUGAAAUGAAGAAAAUUGUGAUGCUUGAAUUGUGUGUGUUGUUGUUUGAAGAAAGACUUAUCAUUGAUCACUUUUGUUUGUGCAUUGUAAUGAGAUUGAAUGAGGGGCCUUGAUUCGUUUUCCCCCAAAAUGUUUGCUUUGUAGGUGAAAGUUUUCCAGCAAGAGAAUUACCUUGCCAAUUGGAUCCAGGUAUGAAUGCUUGCACUUAUUUGCGGUGUGGAUUUUGUAUUUGUGUUUAGUGCAUUGUGGUAUUCGGAGUGAUUCUUUGAAUUUUCUGUCGCGUAGGCGUUAUUUGAUUCAUUGCCUCCGGAGGAUUACAAGGAUGGUUUACUGGUGUUGGGAGGUGAUGGUCGUUACUUUAAUCGUGAAGCUGCACAGGUUCUCUUAUAAAAGUUUCAUCCUUUAGCUUGCACUCAAUGAUGCAUUAGUUUGUUGUUUUUCUGUUUUUCAUGUGAUCUCCAUUCAUAUCAGAAAUCCUACUUACUGUGUUUAUGAUCAAUUUUUUGGAUCUGUAUUGCAGAUUAUCAUCAAAAUCGCCGCAGGGAAUGGUGUUGGGAAAAUUUUGGUUGGCAAGUAAGUGCCUGGAUUGGCUGAUAUCUCAAGUGCUAUUAGUGUCUUUACAUCAUAACUUCAAUUUUGUGUAAAGGCUGAUGUCGAACUUUUAGGUCCUCAUGUAUCUAGUGCCAUGUUUUGAUCCUUUUUAGGUUCUCAUUUAAGCUUUAGCAAUACUAGUUAAUGAUAGAAUUACUAUAACUUGCAGGGAAGGAAUUUUAUCAACACCUGCUGUUUCUGCUGUAAUCCGCAAGAGGAAGGCAAGCUAGUGCUGCUUGAUUCUUCUUUAUUUCAUCAUGAUGAUCAUUUAACAGUGUAAUUAUUCGAUUUUUGUCUUUCUUUUUUCUAAUGUUUCAAAAUAUUUUAUAGGCCAAUGGUGGUUUUAUAAUGAGUGCAAGCCAUAAUCCUGGUGGACCUGAUUAUGAUUGGGGUAUCAAGGUGAAUUUCUCGUGCACACAUAAUAUGGAGAAUGCAUAGUGCAAUGUAUAGUAUGACAGGAUCAUAGUCCUUGCACUUGCCAUGUCUCAACUUAUUUUAUUUUGUCCUUGAUUCUUUCAGUUCUGUAUUGAGUAUUGACACAUUGCAAUGUUUGUAAUGACUUUGCAGUUUAAUUACAGUAGUGGACAACCUGCACCUGAGUCCAUCACUGACAAGAUCUAUGGAAACACUCUUUCUGUAAGUAUCUGGUUUUAUAUGCUUAUUUGCUACCCUUCUUAUCCUGCUAUUCAUAUUCAUUGAAUGUGGUUUCUGCGUUGUUGCUCCAUGUCUUUUUAUAACUCACCCAAAAGAAUAAACCACUAUAAUUUGUCUAAAUCAGAUGUCAAACUUAAGAUGCACAGUAAGAUCUGUUUGAUUCAAAAUCAACUUUACUCUCCACUUUUCCCCCUAGCAGUCUCUGUAGGAGAAGUCUUGACCUCUAGUUAUAUUUCUUGAAGUAUAAUUUCAAUAGUUAAAGUUUUGUACAAUUUUCAUGUGCUCUUCACCUAUACCAUUUCUGUGUGAUUAAGUUUGAAUCCUGUAAAUGCCAUGCAGAUCUCACAGAUAAAGGUAGCAGAUAUUGCUGAUGUUGACCUAUCUUCUGUUGGAGUUAUAAACUAUGGCAACUUCACUGUUGAAGUUAUUGAUCCGGUUACUGACUAUUUGGAACUAAUGGAGGUGCAGACAAAAAUCAUGCUCUAUAAAAACUUUUUCUUAUGACAAAUAAUCUAGUUGGAAUACCACUAAUUGUAUGAUAUUUCCUGCAGAAUGUAUUUGAUUUCCAGCUAAUCAAAAAUCUUCUGAAGUUAGAGUUUAGGUAUACCCUCCAUCAAGAAGGAUCUUUACCGUGUGCUAGCUUAUGUUGGUUGUAUAUCUUAAUAGUUAACGGAUCAUGAAUUGCUUUAUAUUCAGUUCAUACCAUGUUUGAG